rnacentral:tRNA from 1 species
AAGCAGGUAGCUCAAUGGUAGAGCGCUAGAUACAUUCUAGAGAGUGCGAGUUCGAAUCUCGUUCUGCUUCU